GCCCCCAUCAUCUAGCGGCCCAGGAUACCGCCCUUUCAAGGCGGCGGCACGGGUUCAAAUCCCGUUGGGGGCGCCA
rnacentral:tRNA from 1 species